rnacentral:ncRNA from 1 species
AUUUAACCAGAAAGCCACGGCUAACUACGUGCCAGCAGCCGCGGUAAUACGUAGGUGGCAAGCGUUGUCCGGAUUUAUUGGGCGUAAAGCGAGCGCAGGCGGUUUUUUAAGUCUGAUGUGAAAGCCUUCGGCUUAACCGGAGAAGUGCAUCGGAAACUGGGAGACUUGAGUGCAGAAGAGGACAGUGGAACUCCAUGUGUAGCGGUGGAAUGCGUAGAUAUAUGGAAGAACACCAGUGGCGAAGGCGGCUGUCUAGUCUGUAACUGACGCUGAGGCUCGAAAGCAUGGGUAGCAAACAGGAUUAGAUACCCUGGUAGUCCAUGCCGUAAACGAUGAGUGCUAGGUGUUGGAGGGUUUCCGCCCUUCAGUGCCGCAGCUAACGCAUUAAGCACUCCGCCUGGGGAGUACGACCGCAAGGUUGAAACUCAAAGGAAUUGACGGGGGCCCGCACAAGCGGUGGAGCAUGUGGUUUAAUUCGAAGCUACGCGAAGAACCUUACCAGGUCUUGACAUCUUCUGCCAAUCUUAGAGAUAAGACGUUCCCUUCGGGGACAGAAUGACAGG